rnacentral:sRNA from 1 species
AACGUCCCGCCUCAAGGAGGCGCAGCGCUGUGGUGAGCCCGACGAUCCCGCCUCCGACGACAACGGUUUCGGCAUGUACCGAACU